GAUGAACGCUGGCGGCGUGCCUAAUACAUGCAAGUCGAGCGAACGGACGAGAAGCUUGCUUCUCUGAUGUUAGCGGCGGACGGGUGAGUAGCACGUGGAUAACCUACCUAUAAGACUGGGAUAACUUCGGGAAACCGGAGCUAAUACCGGAUAAUAUUUUGAACCGCAUGGUUCAAAAGUGAAAGACGGUCUUGCUGUCACUUAUAGAUGGAUCCGCGCUGCAUUAGCUAGUUGGUAAGGUAACGGCUUACCAAGGCAACGAUGCAUAGCCGACCUGAGAGGGUGAUCGGCCACCCUGGAACUGAGACACGGUCCAGACUCCUACGGGAGGCAGCAGUAGGGAAUCUUCCGCAGUGGGCGAAAGCCUGACGGAGCAACGCCGCGUGAGUGAUGAAGGUCUUCGGAUCGUAAAACUCUGUUAUUAGGGAAGAACAUAUGUGUAAGUAACUGUGCACAUCUUGACGGUACCUAAUCAGAAAGCCACGGCUAACUACGUG
rnacentral:rRNA from 1 species